AUCAAGGACCUAAUCAUGGGGAAUUCAAUUGUUGUUUUUGUGGAGUGGAAAAUGGAAUUAUGCAAUAUAAUAAUGGCUUUACUGCCGACAUGCUUCGGACAUUUCCUAAUUAAGAUCACCAGGACUGUGGGUAGCUUGUGUUCCUUUUCACUUUCUUUGACAUUGACAUUCAUUUUGAAAUGGGGAUCCGUUGAAGGGGUUUUCAUUGGUCUUAUAAGUGCAAUAUUGGUGAUUGGUUUUAUAAACUUGGUGAUUGUUCUGCUGCCAUUUGGACCCAGCCAUGAGCUCAAUGGACAUUGUGACCUUGUUCUUCGGUUGUGUUUUGCACUGUACCACCUUUUGACAAAUUGUUUUCUCCAUGUCAAAGUCUACUACCUGACUGAGGAAUGGAAAGAAACUGGGAGAAAGAUUUGGCUUCUGUACACACUAAUUGUUCAGACAGUGUUAAUUAUCCUUGCAAUUGUUUGGAAUUUUGUUUUAUAUUGCAACAAAAGAACAUUACUACAUAAAGUAAGACGUAAUUAAAUUUUCUUUCUCUAAAAAUGUAAGUAAUACACUGAAUAUAAAAUAUACUGUGAAAUCACAUCAAAACACUUAUCUUUUAAUACAUCCUCUGUCACAGCUAAGGGCAUAAAUGGGGAUCAUCAAGGAAUUAAGAAGUUUCUUCGUACAUGUACAGUGCCUUUCAUCUCCCUAUUCUUCCUUGUUGGAAUCACAUCCAUUUCAUUAUGGAAUAUUGUUAAACUAUAUGACAUGCAAGAUGAUUAAUGGAUAUUAUAGUGACUAUGAUAAUUCUUCCCACCCUGACAGUGCCUAAAGCAAGGCUUAAGCUCAGAGGGGAUCGAGCGUUUUCUGUUGCAGCUCCAAAACUUUGGAAUGCAUUGCCGCUGCACAUUAGACAGGCCACCUCUCUGUCUCAUUUUAAAACUCUUCUUAAAACACACCUCUUU